AGGGAGCGGGUGAGGCGCUGGAGUCCGCGCUCGGCCAGGGAGUGGCAGCCCGAUUGUCCGAGGAUUAAAAAGUAAGCAGCAUUGUUUGUUGGAGAGCCCUACAGAAAGUGGGAAAAGCUUAGUCUUACUUUGUGCUGCUUUAGCAUGGCAACAGGCUCUUCUUCGUGGGAAGCCAGCGGAUGAAAUCUUAAGCAAAAAAGCUGAAGUACCGUUGUCAUGUCGUUGUACGUACCACUCAAAGAAUUUUA